CCUCGGGCCCGGGAGCCUAUUCCUGCCGGGGACGCGGGCCCGGGCGGCCGCGGGAAGCCAAGGCUCCUCUUGGCUGUGACAAUUUCUCAGACUUUCCUCAUUUUUGAUGACCUCGACAGUGUGGAGGAGUCCUGGCAUAUUGUAUCUCUUACUUCCUUUUGGCCAUGAAAGAAGAGAAAAUGAAAAGAAGAGGAAGAAUGAGAGCCCACCGGAUGACAUGUUUUCUCCACCUGCCUGCUCUCUUUUCCUCCAUCCUCACCUCAACUGGGAGACUGGAGAGGCCGAGCAGUAAAUUCUAAGACACAGUGCCAGACACACCUGUAGUGCAGACUGGCCUCCCUGGCACCUGGAUUAUAGCAACAGCCUCCUCUUCUAGGCUUGUCCCCUUUCUCAUCGACCCUGCGCACUGCACCAGACAGCUUUCUCACAGGGUUCACUCAGAGGAUGGAUGCAGGUGGAAGGAAGGCUUUGGAGGAGUCUGGGGUGGCACCCAGGUUUCUGUUGGGAUUGACAUGGUGUAUUGUCUAUGACUGUCACAGAGAACAGAGGAGCAGGAGGGCUUGGGAAAGAAAAGAACUUUGAAACAGAGUUGGAAGCCUCCCACAGACAUCAGGAUGUAACAGCCUGUAGAAAGACUGGUGAAAAUUUUAGGGGAAAAAAAGGUAAUAAAACGGUUAUAAAUCC